GGGGAAACCCAGUGUGUUUCGACACACUAUCAUUAACUGAAUCCAUAGGUUAAUGAGGCGAACCGGGGGAACUGAAACAUCUAAGUACCCCGAGGAAAAGAAAUCAACCGAGAUUCCCCCAGUAGCGGCGAGCGAACGGGGAGGAGCCCAGAGCCUGAAUCAGUGUGUGUGUUAGUGGAAGCGUCUGGAAAGGCGCGCGAUACAGGGUGACAGCCCCGUACACAAAAAUGCACAUACUGUGAGCUCGAUGAGUAGGGCGGGACACGUGGUAUCCUGUCUGAAUAUGGGGGGACCAUCCUCCAAGGCUAAAUACUCCUGACUGACCGAUAGUGAACCAGUACCGUGAGGGAAAGGCGAAAAGAACCCCGGCGAGGGGAGUGAAAAAGAACCUGAAACCGUGUACGUACAAGCAGUGGGAGCCUCUUAAUGGGGUGACUGCGUACCUUUUGUAUAAUGGGUCAGCGACUUAUAUUCUGUAGCAAGGUUAACCGAAUAGGGGAGCCGAAGGGAAACCGAGUCUUAACUGGGCGUUAAGUUGCAGGGUAUAGACCCGAAACCCGGUGAUCUAGCCAUGGGCAGGUUGAAGGUUGGGUAACACUAACUGGAGGACCGAACCGACUAAUGUUGAAAAAUUAGCGGAUGACUUGUGGCUGGGGGUGAAAGGCCAAUCAAACCGGGAGAUAGCUGGUUCUCCCCGAAAGCUAUUUAGGUAGCGCCUCGUGAAUUCAUCUCCGGGGGUAGAGCACUGUUUCGGCAAGGGGGUCAUCCCGACUUACCAACCCGAUGCAAACUGCGAAUACCGGAGAAUGUUAUCACGGGAGACACACGGCGGGUGCUAACGUCCGUCGUGAAGAGGGAAACAACCCAGACCGCCAGCUAAGGUCCCAAAGUCAUGGUUAAGUGGGAAACGAUGUGGGAAGGCCCAGACAGCCAGGAUGUUGGCUUAGAAGCAGCCAUCAUUUAAAGAAAGCGUAAUAGCUCACUGGUCGAGUCGGCCUGCGCGGAAGAUGUAACGGGGCUAAACCAUGCACCGAAGCUGCGGCAGCGACACUAUGUGUUGUUGGGUAGGGGAGCG
rnacentral:rRNA from 1 species